rnacentral:rRNA from 1 species
UGGGGAAUUUUGGACAAUGGGGGAAACCCUGAUCCAACCAUCCCGCGUGUGCGAUGAAGGCCUUCGGGUUGUAAAGCACUUUUGGCAGGAAAGAAACGUCAUGGGUUAAUACCCCGUGAAACUGACGGUACCGGCAGAAUAAGCACCGGCUAACUACGUGCCAGCAGCCGCGGUAAUACGUAGGGUGCAAGCGUUAAUCGGAAUUACUGGGCGUAAAGCGUGCGCAGGCGGUUCGGAAAGAAAGAUGUGAAAUCCCAGAGCUCAACUUUGGAACUGCAUUUUUAACUACCGGGCUAGAGUGUGUCAGAGGGAGGUGGAAUUCCGCGUGUAGCAGUGAAAUGCGUAGAUAUGCGGAGGAACACCGAUGGCGAAGGCAGCCUCCUGGGAUAACACUGACGCUCAUGCACGAAAGCGUGGGGAGCAAACAGG